UUGAAACAUGUAGUAAGUGCCAGCACUACACGCCAAUGAAGACAAAGGCCCCAGAGAUGCGUCCCAUAAAGGUGAAGGAGCCGUUGGAACUUAUAGGAGUCGACUUGGUCGGUGGGGCAAGCCUGCAAGGAUCCUGACUGAUCACGGACGUGAGUUUUGUUCCUCGAUCAACGACGAACUCUGCAAGUUCUACGGGAUCCGGAGGAGUAUCACGUCUGCCUACCAUCCGCAGACUAAUGGACUGGCAGAGAGAAUUAACCAGACUCUAGAGACCAGGCUUUCCAAGCUCUGCAACGCGACCAAGACCGACUGGCCAAACUUCCUGGAUGAAGUCGCCUAUAGCAUCCGCACCCAAAAGCAGCGGACCACCGGGUUCACACCUUUCCGGUUGAUGUUUGCUCGUGAGCACCGGCCACUUCACCAGGAAGAAAUUACAUUUGCUCCUGAGGCUUCUGCACAACCAGAGGGAAGGAGUACCACACCAGAAUUUCUUUUUGUUACAGUUCUUUGAAGAACUUGUUGAACUGCCCUCUUCCGAGGACAUUGCGGAGUGUGUCAAAGAGCAGGACCAGAGGCGUGAAGAACUGCACUCCAAGCGGGAACAGAGAGUUGAAGCAGCCCAAGAAAAGCAGAAGGCUGAGUACAGGAACAGGAAAGCAAGAGGAGUGAAGACCUUCAGCUUCUCUGUAGGGAUGAAGGUUCUUAAAAGAAACCUUCGCAAUGAGACUCGGAAGGGUGGGAUAAUGGAGCAGAAGUGGACUGGUCCAUACAAAGUCCUUGACAUCGACUCCUCAAACCGUGUGGCACUUGAGGCUGUGAGCAAUGGGAAGAAGCUCAAGAGCCGUACUCCAUACAACAACCUGAGGCCAUUCCUCCAGAGCCAGUUGCACUGUGACAGACACUUAUUGGACCACAGAGAUGGACUGCAGCCCUCCAGCAUUCAGGGACCUGUGCAGCCAUCACCUGACACCUCACAGU